rnacentral:rRNA from 1 species
UACGGAGGGUGCGAGCGUUGCUCGGAAUCAUUGGGCGUAAAGCGUACGCAGGCGGCUCCAUAAGUCGGGUGUGAAAGCCCAGGGCUCAACCCUGGAAAUGCGCCCGAAACUGUGGAGCUUGAGUGCGGGAGAGGGAAGCGGAAUUCCUGGUGUAGAGGUGAAAUUCGUAGAUAUCAGGAGGAACACCGGUGGCGAAAGCGGCUUCCUGGCCCGACACUGACGCUCAUGUACGAAAGCGUGGGGAGCAAAC